GGAACCCCAUCACCAUGGCAGCCAGGGAUGCAGGAUGAAGAUUCUCUCCCUGCUGGCUUUCCCCUUCCUGCACUCUCCUUGAGCACGUGGUGACCAUAAAAACAUCCUUUGUCUCACCCUGGUGAGCAGGGGCUUGGCAGUUUCGUUACCCAAGGAAUGCUCGUAAUCACUGCUGAUCUACAAAGAUUUUCAGGAGACCAUAAAUCACCCUAAAUAGCCCAAGGCUGUGGGAGUUCUUUUCUUUGGCUUGGAAUCUCCAAGGCAGCUCAUGAAAUCUGAUGAUGUGGAGACAGAACACCACCACAGCCCUGUCAUCCUGCCCAGGAGGCUUGGAAAGCAUCCUGCUGACCAGAGACAGUCCUGAAGACUUCAAUCCUAACCUCCUGCUUUGCAUUGAGCAGCCUGGCCCAGAUUCCCAGGUGCUGGACCUUGAGUACCUGCCCUACUACAGAACAUCCCACAUCUGUGUCUGCCCAGCACCUCACAUCUGCACAGAAAGAGAGAAAAGCUUCAAUGAAGGCAAUGCUAACACUAAGCAGGAUAAGAAAAGCAUCCUGCCAAGUUUGGAGCUGAGCAACAGGACAAUUUCUUCUACAAGCAAGGAAGAGCUGCCAGCCCAGGAGCUCCUGGGGGCCAGCAGCUCUGCACUCUGCCUGCCCAUGCCCUCCUUCUCCAGCGGGCUCCCAGCCCUGAGCCAGCCCCCUCCCUGCAGUGGGUACUUCCCCUACUACAGGACAGAGGCAGGGAUUUGCACUGGCCCGCUUGAAAGAACAGAGUCCUUCACCAGGAUAGAAGUUCUGGAGACCAAAGAGGGAGGACAAAGGGGAGGAUCAAGUGGUUGGAACCUCCGUGGCAGCUGCUCGGUGUCCUGAGAAGAAAGAAGGGGGUUUGUGGAUGCAGAUGUGAAGGAGAAACUCUUAAAACCUAUGACAAUAUGAAAAUUGGCAUGUAUUUGAAUAAAAUGAAAAUAUUUCUUCUCUCAAAAAAAAAAAAAAAAGAAA